UAUGCCAGACAGUCGCCGCGUGGCAACACGGGGAGGAAAGUCCGGGCUCCACAGAGCAGAAUGCCAGCUAACGGCUGGGCGUCGAAAGGCGACGGAAAGUGGAACAGAAAGCAAAACCGCCGAUGGCCUUAGGGCACAGGUAAGGGUGAAAAGGUGCGGUAAGAGCGCACCGGGCACUUGGCAACAAGGCGUCGCAGGCUAAACCCCAUUCGGAGCAAGACCAAACAGAAUCUGUUAAUGCGGCUCGCAUUGGAUUCGGGUAGGUUGCUUGACGGCAUGAGCAAUCAUGUUGCUAGAUGAAUGACUGUCCAACGACAAAACCCGGCUUAUCGGCACACU
rnacentral:RNase_P_RNA from 1 species